AGUGAACGUUGGCGGCGUGGAUUAGGCAUGCAAGUCGAGCGAGAACCGUAGCAAUACGGGGACAGCGGCGAAAGGGACAGUAAUGUGUAGGUACCUACCUCCGGGUUCGGGAUAGCUGCGGGAAACUGCAGGUAAUACCGAAUAACGUCUCCAGACCAAAGGUGUGAUUCCACCUGGAGAGGGGCCUGCAUCCUAUUAGCUUGUUGGCGGGGUAACGGCCCACCAAGGCGACGAGGGGUAGCGGGGGUGAGAGCACGACCCGCGUCAUUGGGACUGAGACACUGCCCAGACACCUGCGGGUGGCUGCAGUCGAGGAUCUUCGGCAAUGGGCGCAAGCCUGACCGAGCGACGCCGCGUGCGGGAUGAAGGCCUUCGGGUUGUAAACCGCUGUCGUAGAGGAGGAAGUGCAGGGGGGUUCUCCCCUCUGUUUGACCUAUUCUAGGAGGAAGGACGGGCUAAGUUCGUGCCAGCAGCCGCCGUAA
rnacentral:rRNA from 1 species